GAUGAACGCCGGCGGUGUGCCUAAUACAUGCAAGUCGUACGCACUGGCCCAACUGAUUGAUGGUGCUUGCACCUGAUUGACGAUGGAUCACCAGUGAGUGGCGGACGGGUGAGUAACACGUAGGUAACUUGCCCCGGAGCGGGGGAUAACAUUUGGAAACAGAUGCUAAUACCGCAUAACAACAAAAGCCACAUGGCUUUUGUUUGAAAGAUGGCUUUGGCUAUCACUCUGGGAUGGACCUGCGGUGCAUUAGCUAGUUGGUAAGGUAACGGCUUACCAAGGCAAUGAUGCAUAGCCGAGUUGAGAGACUGAUCGGUCACAAAUGGAACUGAGGCACGGCCA
rnacentral:rRNA from 1 species